GUGAGGAAUUUUCCGCAAUGGGCGAAAGCCUGACGGAGCAAUGCCGCGUGAAGGAUGAAGGCCUAUGGGUUGUAAACUUCUUUUCUCAGAAAAGAAUUAUGACGGUAUCUGAGGAAUAAGCAUCGGCUAACUCUGUGCCAGCAGCCGCGGUAAGACAGAGGAUGCAAGCGUUAUCCGGAAUGAUUGGGCGUAAAGCGUCCGUAGGUUGUUUAAAAAGUAUUCUGUCAAAGAUUAGGGCUUAACCCUAGAUAGGCAGAAUAAACUUUUAAGCUAGAGUUUGGGAGAGGCAGGUGGAAUUCCCGGUGGAGCGGUGAAAUGCGUAGAUAUCGGGAGGAACACCAAAGGCGAAGGCACUCUGCUGGGCCAAUACUAACACUGAGAGACGAAAGCGAGGGGAGCAAAUGGGAUUAGAAACCCUGGUAGUCC
rnacentral:rRNA from 1 species